AUCGGGCUGAUGAGUACCAAAUAGGACGAAACUCGCGUCCUGGAU
rnacentral:hammerhead_ribozyme from 1 species